rnacentral:rRNA from 1 species
CGAAGGGGGCUAGCGUUGCUCGGAAUUACUGGGCGUAAAGGGCGCGUAGGCGGACAGUUUAGUCAGAGGUGAAAGCCCAGGGCUCAACCUUGGAAUUGCCUUUGAUACUGGCUGUCUUGAGUUCGGGAGAGGUGAGUGGAAUGCCGAGUGUAGAGGUGAAAUUCGUAGAUAUUCGGCGGAACACCAGUGGCGAAGGCGACUCACUGGCCCGAUACUGACGCUGAGGCGCGAAAGCGUGGGGAGCAAACAGGAUUAGAUACCCUGGUAGUCCACGCCGUAAACGAUGAGUGCUAGUUGUCGGCAUGCAUGCAUGUCGGUGACGCAGCUAACGCAUUAAGCACUCCGCCUGGGGAGUACGGUCGCAAGAUUAA